rnacentral:rRNA from 1 species
GUGUCAGCAGCCGCGGUAAGACGGAGGAGGCAAGCGUUAUCCGGAAUUAUUGGGCGUAAAGCGUCCGUAGGUGGUUAUUCAAGUCUGCUGUCAAAACCCAGGGCUUAACUCUGGAUCGGCAGUGGAAACUGAGUGACUAGAGAGCGGCAGGGGCAGAGGGAAUUCCCGGUGUAGCGGUGAAAUGCGUAGAGAUCGGGAAGAACACCGGUGGCGAAAGCGCUCUGCUGGGCCGCGACUGACACUCACAGGACGAAAGCUAGGGGAGCGAAUGGGAUUAGAAACCCCCGUAGUCC